rnacentral:misc_RNA from 1 species
AAAGUCGUAACAAGGUUUCCGUAGGUGAACCUGCGGAAGGAUCAUUAACAAAUUCAACAACAAAACACUUGUGAACCUGUCCAUUAUCAGCACCCGUCUACCUACCAGCAUGCAUGCAUAGCAAUGAACGAACAACACGGGCAUUGUUGUGUGGCUAGCGGGGGGGAGGGGUGCUGAUAAUAAAUAGACUCUUAUCAUGACUGACAUACAAUCAAAAGUAAUUAAAACAACUUUUAACAAUGGAUCUCUUGGCUCUU